UGAUGGCGGAUUUUCCACGGCGGAACC
rnacentral:piRNA from 1 species